AGUCACAGGAAAGCCAUCUUAAGGGUCCAUCUGUGCCCCAUACCAGAAAAUAAGGAACUUGGGACUCACACGAAUAUGCUGCACCCAUCCAGAGCAGGGAGGGCCACUGUACAUCAAAGAAUAGCCUUGCUGAUGCUGUUAUAAGAACAAGCCCAGCCCAGUCCUUUCAUACCCCCACAUUAAGACCUCUUCCCGAGGCCAGACACAGACAUGGCCACCCUUCUAUAGCAGCUUCUCUUCAGACAGCCAGAGCACUCUAUGCCCUUGCAUCUGUGUGAGCCAUAGCUGGGGCAGGGCUCCUGGGACUGCAGUCUGCUUCAGACCCUCUCCUAUUGGGUGAUUUACUGCUUCCUGCCAUCUCCAGGUGCUCUCGCCCCACUCCUACCCACUAAGCAGCUUGUCACCAGUUCCACACUGAUGACCCUAGCAACCCUGGCCCUGUUCCAGGUGGCACACAUCACGAUGCCUCUAGCAAGGUGAGCCUUCCGCAGUCCUGCAGCUUUCCAUGCGUCCUGAGGAGCUGCCAGCCUAUCUUUCUUCCCCUGAGUCCAGCAGGCAGUCUGGCUGGGGGACCCUGGGAGGAGAUCCUGGGACGGGACCACAGGCCACAAAAGCUCGCUCUGCAGCCUUUAGCUGGGUGCCUGCUCUCUCUGGAAGCUCUGAGGAUUGCCUACUGAAGCCAGGUGAGGACCCAUGGGCAUGUACCACAUCUCGGGCCAUCAAAACCAGGCUGCACAGAACCACUACUGCAAGUGCCUUUGCCUGUCUUAGAACUUGAGCAAUGAAGACCCUGAAGAAUGAUCGAGAACCACAGACUGCUCACCAGGAGAAGACAUAAAGCAGGAAACAGUGGGUAAGACUGCAGCAUAUGCAACAGUGUAGAAGAGAACGUGGUGAGGAGGGAAGGCUUUAGACCACAGUCUGACUGUCCUAGACAGUGCCCAUGGCCUGCCUGCAGAGCAGGACCCUAUGGCCAGGGCCAAGGCCCAGCCAGCACCGACCCCUGGGCUAGACAAAGAACCCCUGAACUCGUCAGGAAUGGAAGGUGGCAGGCUGCCUGGCACAGCCAAUGUGUGCUGAGGCUGCAGCUGGUUCCAGAAGAUACCACAGAUUCUGCAAUAUUUCAAAGCCAUCAGGAUCCUAACAGCAGUGUCUACAGGUCAAGGCAGCAGAACUCACAGGCAAAGAAGAGUUAGAAUCUGCAGUGUGCACAUUAAGCACAGACUGGCCCAGAGGAAUGAGCUGCCACGUGCUUCCCAACCUGGAGCCAAGCUUGGACAGCCCACCUGGACCAGCUUGCAAUUCUGCAUACAGAGGUUAGGGAGUCCAUGGCGCCCACCUCCCUACACAGGCUACCUUGUCUUACUUUGUGAACAGAUGGCAUCCUGCAGCCAUCACUCUGCGUCCUGCUGCAGCCAUGGAGUCACUCUGCAGCCUAAGAUCCUGAUGGAGACCAAUUGUCCAUCUCAGAUCCUUCUACGUCACUGACUAUCAGGAGCCUAGCCAGGUCAAUGAGAUCCUCAGAGACACGAAGGUGACAUGUCGUUCAAGGCUACCCAAGUCACAGAAGUGCUUGUCUAAUGAAGUUGAAACACUGGAGUGUGGCUGGCAAACACGGGACAAAGGCCCCAUACUUCCCUUGUGGUGCUGGACCAGGGCUCUGUGCCUAGCUAAACCUUGCCCCAAUGCCCCUGGGCCCAGGGUCAUCCCCAUUAACAGACUGUGCCUGUAUACCAUGCAUUUCUAGAGAUUGAAGACUGCUGGGAGGUGUCUCAUUUGUAGUAGGGUGCAUACAUGCUUAUUCCAGCUCUGCUGAGAGUUGCAAGCCCUUGACUUCCUGGCUCCUUUAGGGCUGUGUCAGGCACAAAGGUUCUGCCUCAAUUGCGACCCUGUCCCUGGGGCUCCCACACUUUGAAUCUGUUCCCUCUGCCUCACUCAGAGUCAGG
rnacentral:lncRNA from 1 species